GACGAACGCUGGCGGCGUGCCUAAUACAUGCAAGUAGAACGCUGAAGGAGGAGCUUGCUUCUCUGGAUGAGUUGCGAACGGGUGAGUAACGCGUAGGUAACCUGCCUGGUAGCGGGGGAUAACUAUUGGAAACGAUAGCUAAUACCGCAUAAGAGUAGAUGUUGCAUGACAUUUGCUUAAAAGGUGCAAUUGCAUCACUACCAGAUGGACCUGCGUUGUAUUAGCUAGUUGGUGGGGUAACGGCUUACCAAGGCGACGAUACAUAGCCGACCUGAGAGGGUGAUCGGCCACACUGGGACUGAGACACGGCCCAGACUCCUACGGGAGGCAGCAGUAGGGAAUCUUCGGCAAUGGACGGAAGUCUGACCGAGCAACGCCGCGGGAGUGAAGAAGGUUGUCGGAUCGUAAAGCUCUGUUGUAAGAGAAGAACGAGUGUGAGAGUGGAAAGUUCACACUGUGACGGUAUCUUACCAGAAAGGGACGGCUAACUACGUG
rnacentral:rRNA from 1 species